rnacentral:rRNA from 1 species
AUGAUCAGAGCCUUUCAGGAUAAUGCAAUCGAUACAAAGAUUGUUGGUGGUCAGCAUGCUGGAAAGAGGGUGUUUAUACCUAGGAUCCCUAUGCCGCCCUUAGAGGACAUCUCACUUCCUUUCAAACUUAAGAGAAAACAGUUCCCCAUCCGUCUGAGUUUUGCCAUGACAAUUAACAAGGAACAGGGUCAGACCAUCCCAAAUGUCGGCAUUUACCUUCCCGAGCCAGUAUUCUCACAUGGGCACCUAUAUGUUGCAUUGUCAAGAGGAGUGUCGAGAGAGACGACACGGAUUUUGGCCAAGCACCAAGAACAUUGUCUACAGAGAUGUUUUGGAGAGAUGAGGCAGGUGCAUUAUUCCAUUAUUUUUUUUACCUACUAUGUUCGCUUUGAAAACCAGCUUAUGAAACUAGCUCCUUACAAGCUUAUCAUUUUUGUA